rnacentral:rRNA from 1 species
CCUACGGGGGGCAGCAGUGGGGAAUAUUGGACAAUGGGGGCAACCCUGAUCCAGCCAUGCCGCGUGUGUGAAGAAGGCCCUCGGGUUGUAAAGCACUUUCAGUGAGGAAGAACGCCUGGUGGUUAAUACCCAUCAGGAAAGACAUCACUCACAGAAGAAGCACCGGCUAACUCCGUGCCAGCAGCCGCGGUAAUACGGAGGGUGCGAGCGUUAAUCGGAAUUACUGGGCGUAAAGCGCGCGUGGGUGGCUUGAUAAGCCGGUUGUGAAAGCCCCGGGCUCAACCUGGGAACGGCAUCCGGAACUGUCAAGCUAGAGUGCAGGAGAGGAAGGUAGAAUUCCCGGUGUAGCGGUGAAAUGCGUAGAGAUCGGGAGGAAUACCAGUGGCGAAGGCGGCCUUCUGGACUGACACUGACACUGAGGUGCGAAAGCGUGGGUAGCAAACAGGAUUAGAUACCCCAGUAGUC